AAAAAGACAAACCCUGGUUUUCGUGUCCAACAUUUGACCAUCCGUCUUAUUUGAAAAAGUUAUGAACAAAAUUAAAAAGAUAAGUCACGCAUAAAGUAUUAAUCAUGUUUUAUCAUCUAACAACAAUGAAAAUACUAAUUAUAAAAAAAUUUCAUAUAAGACGGACAGUCAAACGUUGGCACGGAAACCCACGGUUUGCCUUUUU
rnacentral:pre_miRNA from 1 species